AGAAUCAACGCUGGCGGCGUGCCUAACACAUGCAAGUCGAACGCGAAAGUGGAGCAAUCCAUGAGUAGAGUGGCAAACGGGUGAGUAACGCGUGGGUGAUUUGCCUCAGGGUGGGGGAUAACCUUCCGAAAGGGGGGCUAAUACCGCAUGACAUAGCGCUUUUAGAUGAGCGUAUAUCAAAGCUGGAACCGCAAGGUCUGGCGCCUGGAGAGAAGCCCGCGUCCGAUUAGCUAGUUGGUGAGGUAAUGGCUCACCAAGGCGACGAU
rnacentral:rRNA from 1 species